GUGGAUAUCAGGGGCAGCUUGAUUAAUGAAAAUCGUGCCCAUUGCUGACUGGUUUUCUCUGGCUUCUGGGUUAAAGGAAGAGGAAGAGGAAAGGUAAGAGGAAGAGGAAGAGGAAGAGGACCUGGAGUAGUUAGCUGAAAGUCAUCUCAGAAGAAGGACUUUGCACAGAUACACGAUGAAGACAGCUGUUUACAAGCCAAGAAAAGGACGUGUAUUGAGAUCCAAUCCAUAAUGGUAUCUUGAUCUUGUACAUAUAAUCUCCAGAAUGGUGAAAAAUAAAUUUCUAGGUAAGCUAUCUUACCUGUAGU